GCCUGGGUGGCUCAGUGGUUGAGCAUCUGUCUUCUGCUCAGGUCGUGAUUCCAGGGUCCUGGGAUCAAGUCCCACAUCAGGCU
rfam:Canis lupus familiaris chromosome 1, whole genome shotgun sequence.